AAAUUUUUAAUCGCAUGUUCUUUAUACAAUAACAGCAUCCAUACAGCUACCAACAUGAAACCACGUGAAAUUUUAUAUGCAGCCAAAAAUGGACAGGAGAGACCGAUAGAAAUGGAACGCCUUGUUGAACUUCGUGACAAGUUGUACGACGAAGUUCAAGUACAACUAACCAAGACACAAAACUCACAGAAUCUGUACCACAACAGGAAGCGAGAGGAUCCGCCAAAACUAAAGCAAAACGAAUUGGCAUACAACCGCAUCCAAGGAGUGAAGUCGAAAAUUAAGGACCGCUACCAACAAGUGCGAGUACGAUCUAACCGGAAACACACGCACAAAGAUAUCCUAAGUCGAAAAUUGCAUAAAGAAAAACUGCGACGAAUCCGAAAGUAACACCACAGAAUCUCUAAUGUGUUUUUUCAUUUGUUUUCUCUUUUUAGAUGACGUUUAUUUGGAAUAUCCUGAUAACAACCACAUUCCUUACUCAGCUAUCCCAACCACAAUCCAUCCACGUCAUUAAUCUCAAACAAAACCCCGGUCUUUUAACCAUAGAAACUGGCAACAGUUUUAUAAAAAUAGGCAAUCACAGAUUGUUUCAUAUCCUAGAACUGGAUAAUUACGAACCUAUUUUUAGAAAAUUGCUUGCUAAUAUCCAAGGAAUACGGACAUUCUCAAAUUUUACUGAUAUGUUUGAAAUCUUAGAAUCGAAAUAUGGAACCGUUCACAGUUUAUUCAAUAAUCUUCGGCCAAAGCAAAGAAAUAAAAGAGGAUUAUUUAAUUUUCUCGGAACUGGAAUAAAAAGAAUUACAGGAAAUAUGGACCAUAACGACUAUGAACAAAUUUCGAAAAAUAUUUUUGAACUGCAGAUCAAGAACAAAAGACUUAUUAACGAAAACAACGAACAGCUUAAAAUUAAUCUACAACUCCAAAAUAGAAUCAAUUCCAUUAUCAACCGUUUAAAUCAACAACAGAGUGAAAUAACUAAAAACAUUAUAUCAGCUAGAUUUGAAAACGAAACCAACAAAAACUUUAAAUUAUUUAGAGAAAUUUUGAAAAUCAAUUACAACUUAGACAACCUUAAAUCACAUUUAGAAGACAUUUUUGAAUCAAUUCAGUUAGCAAGAACUAACAUUAUUCCCAAACAAAUACUUUCAAUUGAAGAGUUAUGAUUUGUUUCAGAUAUAUUAGAAGAACAAAACAUUAGGACGAACAGUUUAGAUCAAAUUUAUGAAUAUUUAGAAUUGUCAGCAUUUUAUAACCAUUCAAAACUAAUAUUUGUUGUGUCAAUUCCAAAAAUAGAAAAAGCUAUGUACACACAUUUUUUCCUAGAACCUCUUCCAGUAGUAGAUAAAAUUUUAAAACUUCCUGCUAAUGCUGCUUUGCAAAGCGACAACAGAACAUAUUUCAUCAAGAAGGAUUGCCUGCGAAUCGAAAGGACAAGGCUGUGCAAUCUAAGCAGCCUAGAGGACAUAACCGGCGACCUAUGCUACUCAAACCUACUAAGAGGACUAUCAGGAAACUGUACUUUCGUAAAAUUCUAUCAAUCAACGGAGAUCAAAGCGAUCAUGGACAAUUACCUUGUCGCUAAAAACAUCAAUAACACAGAAAUCAAAUCGAAUUGUGGUCUUUCAAAACGAAACUUAUCUGGAACGUAUUUGAUAGAGUUCCACAAUUGCUCUGUCAUAAUAAAUGGCACCAAGUUCUCAAAUGUCGAAGCAAACAAAUCAGAACCGACAUUUGUUAUGCCAUUAGAUGGUUUACAUAUCAAUGAACAGACCCUGGAAAUCCAGAAUAAUAUGGAAGAAAUUCACAUCCAUAAUAGACAUCGGAUUGAAGCAUUAACUAAGGAACACAAAAUUCAGACAUACACAUCUCUAAGUAUGUCGACCGUAUGUUUUCUUCUAAGUAUCGUUGCAGGUCUUUCAUGGAUUUCGAGAAAACGCAGACAGAUAUCUCUUCAUAUUGGAGCAUCCAUGGAGUCUAAAAGCAAACCAGAAAUUAAACCUGAGACCAGUACAAUUCGGGACGAAUCGUCUCCAAAAGGGGGAGUAGUUAAGAUCGAACCCUUACCGAUCCUCAACAAUCAUCCAUACACCAAUCGCUUUAUUGGUGUAUCAUCAUUUUCAUCAUUCCCGGCAACAACAACAACAACGACGACGUCCACCACACCGACGACGAUAGCCCAGCUAGUAGAACGGAAACAGUAGUCUAGCAUCAGCAUUUCAUCACCUGACAACAUAGGUAGCAUUUACGUGGACAACCACCGAACGAGACCACUAAACGAAGCCACAGCCCUUUGGACCCGCGGCAUCAGCAGUUCUUCCACAGCAAUAGCAUAAGCAUUGCAGUAGGUAGUGAGGUUUGAUCGUAAUCAAUAAUUGAAUAAAGGUUCAGUUCGUUUAAGGCAGUAGAUCGAAUAAGUUCUUUUUUUAAAACUUAGUCUGGGUGACACCCUUCUUCACUGGCGCAGUCGGCAGUUCUAGCGUGGAGUAGUUAAAGUGUAGUGAAAAGUGUUCUUAUCCGAAAUCAUCGGCGGCUUACCGAAGAGCAAAGGAGGAAACACCUAAACUACAGAUUCUAGUGCACCGGCGGUUCACCGAGACACCAAAAUCAUCUUUAACGAAGCUUCACACCUGCUAGAAGACAUCGAACCAUCCGAGGCAAUAUCGGACAAUUUAACCAUCCGAGGGAACAUCGGAUAAAACCAUGACGUUUAUUUGGAAUAUCCUGAUAACAACCACAUUCCUUACUCAGCUAUCCCAACCACAAUCCAUCCACGUCAUUAAUCUCAAACAAAACCCCGGUCUUUUAACCAUAGAAACUGGCAACAGUUUUAUAAAAAUAGGCAAUCACAGAUUGUUUCAUAUCCUAGAACUGGAUAAUUACGAACCUAUUUUUAGAAAAUUGCUUGCUAAUAUCCAAGGAAUACGGACAUUCUCAAAUUUUACUGAUAUGUUUGAAAUCUUAGAAUCGAAAUAUGGAACCGUUCACAGUUUAUUCAAUAAUCUUCGGCCAAAGCAAAGAAAUAAAAGAGGAUUAUUUAAUUUUCUCGGAACUGGAAUAAAAAGAAUUACAGGAAAUAUGGACCAUAACGACUAUGAACAAAUUUCGAAAAAUAUUUUUGAACUGCAGAUCAAGAACAAAAGACUUAUUAACGAAAACAACGAACAGCUUAAAAUUAAUCUACAACUCCAAAAUAGAAUCAAUUCCAUUAUCAACCGUUUAAAUCAACAACAGAGUGAAAUAACUAAAAACAUUAUAUCAGCUAGAUUUGAAAACGAAACCAACAAAAACUUUAAAUUAUUUAGAGAAAUUUUGAAAAUCAAUUACAACUUAGACAACCUUAAAUCACAUUUAGAAGACAUUUUUGAAUCAAUUCAGUUAGCAAGAACUAACAUUAUUCCCAAACAAAUACUUUCAAUUGAAGAGUUAUGAUUUGUUUCAGAUAUAUUAGAAGAACAAAACAUUAGGACGAACAGUUUAGAUCAAAUUUAUGAAUAUUUAGAAUUGUCAGCAUUUUAUAACCAUUCAAAACUAAUAUUUGUUGUGUCAAUUCCAAAAAUAGAAAAAGCUAUGUACACACAUUUUUUCCUAGAACCUCUUCCAGUAGUAGAUAAAAUUUUAAAACUUCCUGCUAAUGCUGCUUUGCAAAGCGACAACAGAACAUAUUUCAUCAAGAAGGAUUGCCUGCGAAUCGAAAGGACAAGGCUGUGCAAUCUAAGCAGCCUAGAGGACAUAACCGGCGACCUAUGCUACUCAAACCUACUAAGAGGACUAUCAGGAAACUGUACUUUCGUAAAAUUCUAUCAAUCAACGGAGAUCAAAGCGAUCAUGGACAAUUACCUUGUCGCUAAAAACAUCAAUAACACAGAAAUCAAAUCGAAUUGUGGUCUUUCAAAACGAAACUUAUCUGGAACGUAUUUGAUAGAGUUCCACAAUUGCUCUGUCAUAAUAAAUGGCACCAAGUUCUCAAAUGUCGAAGCAAACAAAUCAGAACCGACAUUUGUUAUGCCAUUAGAUGGUUUACAUAUCAAUGAACAGACCCUGGAAAUCCAGAAUAAUAUGGAAGAAAUUCACAUCCAUAAUAGACAUCGGAUUGAAGCAUUAA